UACGUAGGCAGCAAGCGUUGUUCGGAAUUACUGGGCGUAAAGAGCGCGUAGGCGGGGCUUUAAGUCAGAUGUGAAAUCCCCAGGCUCAACCUGGGAACAGCAUUUGAAACUGAAGAUCUUGAGGGUAGUCGGAGAAAAUGGAAUUCCACGUGUAGCGGUGAAAUGCGUAGAUAUGUGGAAGAACACCGGUGGCGAAGGCGAUUUUCUAGAUUAUACCUGACGCUGAGGCGCGAAAGCAAGGGGAUCAAACAGG
rnacentral:rRNA from 1 species